rnacentral:rRNA from 1 species
AGCGAACGCUGGCGGCAGGCCUAACACAUGCAAGUCGAACGAAGUCUUCGGACUUAGUGGCGGACGGGUGAGUAACACGUGGGGACGUGCCUUUAGGUUCGGAAUAACUCAGGGAAACUUGUGCUAAUACCGAAUGUGCCCUUCGGGGGAAAGAUUUAUCGCCUUUAGAGCGGCCCGCGUCUGAUUAGCUAGUUGGUGGGGUAAUGGCCCACCAAGGCUACGAUCAGUAGCUGGUCUGGAGGAUGACCAGCCACAUUGGGACUGAGACACGGCCCAAACUCCUACGGGAGGCAGCAGUGGGGAAUCUUGCGCAAUGGGCGAAAGUCUGACGCAGCCAUGCCGCGUGGAUGAUGAAGGUCUUAGGAUUGUAAAAUCCUUUCACCGGUGAAGAUAAUGACUGUAGCCGGAGAAGAAGCCCCGGCUAACUUCGUGCCAGCCGCCGCCGUAACAC